UUGGAGUAUAGUCAAGUGCUAAGGCAUCGAUCUUUAAUGCCUAGAAACAAAGGUUCGAAUCCUUAUAUUCCAUG